rnacentral:rRNA from 1 species
UCCGGAGGGCGCAAGCGUUGUUCGGAUUCACUGGGCGUAAAGCGCAUGUAGGCGGUUCAGUAAGUCGGCUGUGAAAUCCCGAGGCUCAACCUCGGAACUGCCGCCGAAACUGGCGGGCUGGAGCAGCGGAGAGGGUAGUGGAAUUUCGGGUGUAGAGGUGAAAUUCGUAGAUAUCCGGAGGAACACCAGUGGCGAAGGCGGCCCGCUGGAUUGUUGCUGACGCUGAGACGCGAAAGCGUGGGGAGCAAACAGG